GAGGCGAGAGGUCAUCAUUUGUUUUAGAGGAACAUCACAAACACAUAUGCCGUGCGGUGUUCAGAGGGCAAAAUGUAGAAAAAUGUAUCUUAGAUAUAAUAAGCAAAUCGAAUCCUGAUGUUGUCACCACAGCAGCAUGCAAACUGGUUUCUACAGAGUGCAAAUCACUAUGUAAACGUGGAUCAUAUUCCAUCUUACAACAAAAAACUUAUGAUGGAAUUUUCAGCUUUACGUGGGAUUCCUUUUACAAAGAAAUUCAAGUAAGAGCACCGAACACACUCAGAGUUGUUUCGGCCAUAGCAAUUGAUAUCCCUAUUCCACCAACAGAAAAAAAAUUUCUACUACUGAUGAGCUCUCUUGGUACUUGCUUCCAUGGAAGAAAUGGCCAGAUAUCCUCUCUGCAGUACCAAAUUGGAUUCAUUUUAGCUCAAGGAGGAUGCAAAGUAAGGGAUAUAGAAAGAUUAGCAAAACUGGGACUUUGCAUGUCACCCAAGUCUCUCUUCAAUAAACUCUCAUCACGGGAAAAGAACAUUGAUGUUGCAGUAUUAAGAGCCAAACAACAAUGGAUUGAAAGUGGAGGAACUACUAGUACAUAUCAAAUAAUCGUGAGAACUGGGACAAGACCAUAAUACCUGUGUAUCGAACUUCUUAACACUAAACAAUAUCCUUACAUUUGUUUAAUGUUUUAGUGGUAAUUGACAGGAUCCCUUUUGAAGAAAAUAUGCCUGAAACUGUUUAUUUGGAAGACUUUCCACUGCACAGGUUAAUACCAUCCGUAAAUGAACAAAAAAUGCUGAUUGAGGAACUAACAUUUAUCAUAGCCACUUCUGUGAUUCAGAACAUUGAUUAGAUGCAGAAUGUAUUUGGAAAGAUCUAUCCAGUGCAUUUAAACCAUAAGUACAGUGAAUAUGCUGGAUUAAAAACAACACAGUACUCCCUUGGUCUAUUUGACUGUGAUGAGAACAAGACACAGGGUGUCAUUAGAUUGCUGAAAGAGCUCACCCAAUAUGUCCCAGUUGACAAAAAUGGAAACAUUGAAGAGGUUUUCUUUGGUGG